GAGUUUGAUCAUGGCUCAGGACGAACGCUGGCGGCGUGCUUAACACAUGCAAGUCGAACGGAAAGGCCCUGCUUUUGUGGGGUGCUCGAGUGGCGAACGGGUGAGUAACACGUGAGUAACCUGCCCUUGACUUUGGGAUAACUUCAGGAAACUGGGGCUAAUACCGGAUAGGAGCUCCUGCUGCAUGGUGGGGUUGGAAAGUUUCGGCGGUUGGGGAUGGACUCGCGGCUUAUCAGCUUGUUGGUGGGGUAGUGGCUUACCAAGGCUUUGACGGGUAGCCGGCCUGAGAGGGUGACCGGCCACAUUGGGACUGAGAUACGGCCCAGACUCCUACGGGAGGCAGCAGUGGGGAAUAUUGCACAAUGGGCGGAAGCCUGAUGCAGCAACGCCGCGUGCGGGAUGACGGCCU
rnacentral:rRNA from 1 species